UACGGGGGGAGCAAGCGUUGUUCGGAUUUACUGGGCGUAAAGCGCGUGUAGGUGGCGAUGUAAGUCGGGUGUGAAAUCCCUCAGCUUAACUGAGGAAGUGCACUCGAUACUGUGUCGCUUGAGUGCCGGAGAGGGUGGCGGAAUUCCCCAAGUAGAGGUGAAAUUCGUAGAUAUGGGGAGGAACACCGGUGGCGAAGGCGGCCACCUGGACGGUAACUGACGCUGAGACGCGAAAGCGUGGGGAGCAAACAGG
rnacentral:rRNA from 1 species